rnacentral:lncRNA from 10 species
GGUAACAAGAUCCUGGAGGAGAGGGGAAGAAAAUGUUAAUCAGAGCAUACAAAGUUUCAAUUAGACAAAGAGGAAUAAGACCAGGCACAGUGGCUCAGACUUGUAAUCCCAGCACUUUGGGAGGCUGAGCUGGGAACCCAGGAGUUUGAGACUAGCCUGGGCAAUAUAGUGAGACCCCAUCUCUGCAAAAACAAAAAUACAUUGUUUGGGUCUGGUGGUGCACACCUGUAGUCCUAGCUAUGUGAGAUGCUAGAGAGGGACUGCAAAGAUUUGUGGCUAUUAUUGAAAUCAACCACAAGCAAUGAGUGACAUGAUCAAAAUUAUAUUUUAGAGUGUGCGCAUUAGAAUAAUGUCUCUCUCCUCAUUUGCUGAACCAAUAUUUCAACCUUUCAGAGCUACUGCAUGGGCUGACUUCAGCAAAGCGUAGGGGUGGGGCUGCCUGAGUCUUUGGGGGCCUAGCCCCAACUCCAGUAUGCCCAGAAGGCCAGACAUGGAGUCAAGGAAGAUUAUUGUAAUAUAAUUGAGUAGAUAUGGUGGAUGAGAGGUAUAGAAGAACCCUGUUGGAAUAGGGAAACUAGAACUACUUCACAAAAGAGAAUGCUUCAAGCAUAAGAUCUGUAAAUGUCUCGAAAGUAAGGCAGAAAUGAAUUCUAUUUCCUUCCUUUCCAGUAGCACACAUGUUAAUCCCUCCUUUUUUUUCUCAUAGGUGUUGAUCUGCAAGGCACUCACUAAUUAAUUUCUUACAUAAUGAAAUAUGACAAACAUGUUUUAAAGCUUGCAACACUAUAAAAUAUAUAAUGAUUAUGCUUACUAAUCAAUUUAAUAAUUUAUUAUAGAACACCAUUUCAUGAUGUGCUUUUUAGUAACUGAUAUGGUUUGGCUCUGUGUCCCCACCCAAAUCUCGCCUUUAAUUGUAAUAAUCCCAUGUCAA